CCGCUCACGGAUGACGACAUGGUGUUGUAUAUCCUUGCCGGCCUCGACUUUGACUACAUGUCCUUUGUCUCCUCCAUCUGCGCCAGGACCAUCCCCAUCAAGCCCAACGAGCUAUACGCCCAACUCAUCAGCUUCGAGA
rnacentral:snoRNA from 1 species